rnacentral:misc_RNA from 1 species
GCCCUAGUAAAGCCACAAAAUCAUCUAUUGAAACAUCUAAACAAUAGAAAGUUCCACUAGUUUGCUCUGAAAAGUUAUAAACAUCAAACAAGAAUUAAAUACUAUAAUAUGAAAACCAGAGCAUUGAUAAUCACCCAGAAAGAGAGUUACUUGACAAAGUUUCUUAAUUCGGAAAUUUGCCAGCCAGCAGAUUCCGUCUAGUUUAGCAAAGCUGAUAUUUAAUUUCAAGGUCGGUUCACAAAUCCAGCACUUUCAAGAACACGAAAUACAGUAACUUUCAGCACAAUAUCCCUUGAUCUUAUCAGCUCAAAGAUACAAACAUCUCCUUCCCCCAAAUUAUUCUCCAAUGUGAAUUCAUACCACCCUUGGCUUA